GGUAUGUGCCUCCUUCCAUUUACUUUUCUGUUGUGCUGCGUUCACUCAUGAGAUGAGAUCAGUCCCACGUACCUUAAUUUUUCUCAGUGAGUAAGGCGACACUCUGGAGAUGCCUCGUUCUGCAGCGAGAGGUUCGAAUCCAAGUUCCAACCGGAAGUAAGAAGAAAAAGAGGACAAAAGAAGGGAGUUUUAGAGAGGUAU